rnacentral:rRNA from 1 species
ACGGCUCAGUAACACGUGGACAACCUACCCAAAGGUCUGGGAUAACUCCGGGAAACUGGGGAUAAUACCGGAUAGGUCAAGAGUACUGGAAGGGUUUUUUGAUUGAAAGCUCUGGCGCCUUUGGAUGGGUCUGCGGCUGAUUAGGUUGACGCCGGUGUAAAGUACCGGCGUGCCGAUUAUCAGUACGGGUUGUGGGAGCAAGAGCCCGGAGAUGGAUUCUGAGACACGAAUCCAGGCCCUACGGGGCGCAGCAGGCGCGAAAACUCUACAAUGCAGGCAACUGCGAUAGGGGAACAUCGAGUGGCAUCUACAUUAGGUGUCUGUCCAGCUGUCUAAAAAACGGCUGUUAGCAAGGGCCGGGCAAGACCGGUGCCAGCCGCCGCGGUAAUACCGGCGGCUCGAGUGGUGGCCGAUAUUAUUGAGUCUAAAGGGUCCGUAGCCGGCUUUGCAAGUCUUGUGGGAAAUCCAGCGGCUUAACCGUUGGGCGUCUGCGGGAUACUACAUUGCUUGGGACUGGGAGAGGUAGGAGGUACUCAGGGGGUAGGAGUGAAAUCCUGUAAUCCUCUGGGGACCACCGGUGGCGAAGGCGUCCUACCAGAACAGGUCCGACGGUGAGGGACGAAAGCUAGGGGCACGAACCGGAUUAGAUACCCGGGUAGUCCCAGCCGUAAACGAUGCCCGCUAGGUGUCACGGCAGUCGUGAACUGCCGUGGUGCCGUAGGGAAGCCGUGAAGCGGGCCACUUGGGAAGUACGACCGCAAGGUUGAAACUUAAAGGAAUUGGCGGGGGAGCAC